rnacentral:rRNA from 1 species
GGAUGAACGCUGGCGGCGUGCCUAAUCCAUGCAAGUCGAGCGAACGGCCGAGAAGCUUGCUUUUCUGAUGUUCGCGGCGGACGGGUGAGUAACACGUGGAUAACCUACCUAUAAGACUGGGAUAACUUCGGGAAACCGGAGCUAAUACCGGAUAAUAUUUUGAACCGCAUGGUUCAAAAGUGAAAGACGGUCUUGCUGUCACCUAUAGAUGGAUCCGCGCUGCAUUAGCUAGUUGGUAAGGUAACGGCUUACCAAGGCAACGAUGCAUAGCCGACCUGAGAGGGUGAUCGGCCACACUGGAACUGAGACACGGUCCAGACUCCUACGGGAGGCAGCAGUAGGGAAUCUUCCGCAAUGGGCGAAAGCCUGACGGAGCAACGCCGCGUGAGUGAUGAAGGUCUUCGGAUCGUAAAACUCUGUUAUUAGGGAAGAACAUAUGUGUAAGUAACUGUGCACAUCUUGACGGUACCUAAUCAGAAAGCCACGGCUAACUACGUG